AUACUUACCUGACAGGGGAAAUACCGUGAUCACAAAAGUGGUUUCUCCAGGGCAAGUCUUAUCCAUUGCACUCUGGAUAUGCUGAACCCUGUAAUUUCCGUAAAUGUGGGAAACUUGACUACAUUAUUUGUGGUAGUGGGGGACUGUGUUCGUGCUCUCUCCUG